UCUAGAGUAUCGAUUUUCCACAGGGAACCUGAGUGAACUAAUUAAGAUUCAAGAUCUCCCAAGGAUAACUAUAUCAUUAUUUUUGGUGGGAAGAGAGGAAGUUUCCUGAGAGUUCUCUAGUUGAUCUAAGAAUCAAGAAUUACUUCAAAGAUUAUUUAUUUUGGAACAUCAGAACACUAACCACAAAAAGAGAUGAGAAGGGGGCUAGGAAGCUCUGACUACGGUCCUACAAACACCAAUCCGAACGAGGUGGAAUACGUUGACCGUUAGGGCUGUCACUACCCUAGGGCUACCACAACAAUCCGAAGGAUUGGGAUCAAUUCCAGUUAAUUGCAAGACUAAACACCAUGUCUAAUCUAUUAAUUACUACUCUAGUGUUUCAAAUACUAGAGCACUUGAUGCAAGCGAGAAUCCAAUAAAUAACAUGAAUGUAAAUAAAAGUAAUUAAAGAACUGGGGAAUUAUGAAUUGGAGAACUUGGAGAACGAUGAAGAACGAACCAGUUGCUGCAAAAGUACAAUGUUGAGGAAGAUCCGACAGAUCCAGCUCCUCCUCCGCUCUCCUCUUCUCUCUCCCUAUAUUCUAGAUUACAACUAGAACUAACUAGAACUAGAAUUAGAUGAACUAGAACUAGAACUAGAUGAACUAGAGGGAUCCUCUCUACUUGGACGAGUAAUUGAAACACUAGCUUUGAUUCUGUAGAAGAGGUAUGUUCUCCAGGGGCCAGGGGCGCUGCUUAUAUAGUCAUUCCAAAUGAAUGUGGGCCGUCGGAUCAAGCCGACCUUAAUCGCACGGUUUUCCUUGAUCCUCAAAGGCGGUGGAGCACGAUCCGUGAGACCUGCCCUGAUUGGUCACCAGGGCAGGUCAGGCGCCCAAGGGGGGAGGGCGGGCGCCCUGCCCCCAGGCCCGCUCGGCCUCCCGUUCGUUCCCAUGGCUUCUGGAGUCUUCUAGAUGAUAGAAAAUUGGUGCACACGUUAAUAUCUCUAUGUAAACCUGACGUGUGGGCCUUUUCUCCAUAUUUCCUGAUAACCCCCUGCAGAAGUAGACAAACACCAAAACUCGUGGAAUUCUGUUAGAUAAAACCCUAAGACUAGGCGUCGGUUGCAUUUGGAUCCUUUUCCAUGAUUAGUUGACGGUAAAAUGUGAGCAUUAAGGACCGUCAACAAGCUCCUCCAAGCUUAACCUUUGCUCGUCCUUAAUGGUACACAUGCGUUCAAACAAGAUCUCAUCUCUAGGUUAGGGUAAACUGUUAAGAUUUAAACUUACUCAUUUUACCUUCCACCAUGGGGCUUGCAACCGUCACUUGUGUCAUGAGCAGUUAAAAGAUAGAACGGUCUAGUCAAGCACCAUGUCUCUUGUUCUUCGAUUAACUAUAGCUCUGGAGUUUUUGUUGCAGAUUUUCAAAUAAAACUCAGAGAUUCCUUGUAUGACUCUCUCUAGUCUCUCUUUUGUGGUAUUUUUGGAUCCUUACCAAGGCAGUAAUGGUAUAUGCCUUCUCUCAAAGUAUGUGGUAUUUUUGGUAUGAGGCAUAGUGGCAUUGCCUUCUCUCUCACCCUACUCUAAUAAGGUUUUGAUAUCUGGAGCUCAUAGGUGGGAGACAGCUAAUACAUACUUACAAGACAUUUAUUGUAUAGUCAAACCAUGGAUCUAGAAGAGCAAGUCAAUAAGUCAAAUCAAGAUGUGGAUGUGUGGAAAAAUGAAUGGUGAUAAUGGUGAAAAUUAUGGUGAAAGUCUAAUUCUACUUUUGCUCUUUUGAGGGGGUACAUACCUUCCUUGCACUUGAGGCUUUUGAGGGGAAUGAGAUGCUCUAUAUUUUAUUUUUCUUUUCUCGCAGGUGGGUAUCUUGUACCCCUAAUUCUACUAUUGGACACUUGUCCAUUUUUACCUCUCGUCUCACUUUUUCUUUUUUUUUUCUUUUUUCGAGGUUUCGGGCACUUGCCCCUUUUUAUUUCCUCGUAUUCACUUUUUUUUUCAGAGCACUCACCCUCCUGGAAUAAUGUAGCAAGUGGUAGUAACCAAAAUAUCUAGAACAUUUAUUUCACGGGGAAUAACAGGGAUAGGAUAAUGUUUUUGGCUAUUUUCUCCUAGAUAGGAGUAGAAUAAUUUUGGGUCAAUCUGGAUAUGGAAAUAAGUGGAUGUAUGUGGAUGCAUAGUUCCGGAGUAGAAGCAGCAUGUAUGAGUGAACGUGCAAGUGAAUCUUGAUUUUAACCUCAUGACAAGCUCCUAAGGGUCUACACAGCUUGACCACACUCAAUACUCAUAAGCAGUAAAAAGUAAAUGUAUGGUUCAUAGUCUAAUAAGCAUGUAUAUAUGGCUGUGGUAGGAUUUUCAACUCUCAUCAUACAGGAACUCAUCAUGCAAUAUUUUAAAGAUUUUCAAAGAUAAAAUUCUCCAGAAUUGUAGCAUCUCUAGGAACAGAUAAACAAUAGCUCAACCUUCCCAUAUCAUAUCCGUUAACGACUUAGACUUUAGAUCAAGUACUUUUCCCACGAGUUCAGAUUCAGAGCAAAUCUUAAUUAAUAACAGUCAUGCCUAAACUUGAGAGAGAUUUCAAUUUUGAGAACUAGUCAUGGCAGAGCAACUAUUCACCAUUUCCAUGUGAGAGCUUAUCAUGAGGGUUCAUAACAAACUUUAUUUAUUUAUUUAGCAAACUAAGCAAAGAUAUAUGUAUAUAAGCACAAAAUCUUUAUUUGGGUUUUUACGAUUAUGCAUCUUUUUAUUAUUUGAGUAAAGUAUAAACGUGAGUAGAACACUUAGCUGGAUAAAUUGGGGUGCUCUCCCCGAAGCUGGAUUUUGACAUAAUUUCUCCUGAUGUAGCUAGCAGGUAGCGGAGGUGUAUUUGAAUGUCGGCAGCACCCUGACAGCGAUUAGUAUGUCCUCCGUCUGCUUAGUCUUCUUUGAUCCUUGAAUUAUGUGGAGCUCAAAUAGACAACAAAGCUUUGUGGAACUAGUUAAGUGUUAGCAUAAAUAUCUAGCCUUUAUCAUGUUGAGCCUCCUCAAUAAAUGUUACUCUAUUUAGUAGGAUCAUAAAUUUAUUUUUUUGUAUUUUUAUUUUUAUAGGACAGGAAUAUAUUUAUUUUAUUUUUAUGCCACCACAGUGAAUGUGCUUAUCGGUUUUAUGCCAUGAGCAUACUCACAUGGGGCUUAUUAUUUUUAACAUUUUUAUUUUCUUUUCGAGAUGAUAUGAACAAGGUACCAACUCAGACGCAGAGGUUCUUCAAUAUUCCCUUUGGGAAACUUAGUGUCCGAUCUGCAAGCCUGGGCAUAAUGUUGACGCUGGAGCCAAAGUCGUAGAGUGCUUCUGGGAAGUCCACCAUGCCGAUGGAGAUCGGGAUGACGGGGCGUCCUGGAUCGCCUCUCUUGACCGGCAGAAGGUCAGUAAUUAGUUCCACAACCGGGUUACUCUAGUAGUUACCUUGAUAAUUACCUGAGUAGUUAGGCCUCUGUUGAUUCCAACCUUGAUUUUGUUGAGGACGGUUGUAGUAGUAGUAGUUGUUGUUGAUGUAGUUUACGUCCUCAAGCAUCUCAGGGCAGUGAUUGCCUGAGUGUCUAGAAUCUCUAGUGUGUUUGUGCUCGUAGAUCCAGGUUCUUCACUUGCUGGAGUCUGAAAGUUGUAAAACUCCUUCAUAUUUUGCUCGAAGUGUACCUGCUCAUAGAGACAAGGCAGAGAUCAAGUGCAUGGGCCCUGUUGGUGGAAAACACCAACAGAACCAAAAGUGUAUUUAUUCUUCUCUAACCUUAAGCAUAGUGAGCAAGACAAAGUUGAUGGAUAAUAAGAUCAUGAGUGUAACAUUUAAAGUAUUUGUCAGAUCACAUCGCUCAACCAAAUGGAAAGAUAAUCUAUCUAUACUUAUGUUUUUUUAUAUAUCUUCCAAAGAUUGCGUGUGCAACAAUUUAGCUCAUAUGAUUAGGAGCGUGGGAUCACAAAGGUGGAAGGACUAAACAUAUUGAAUCGAUUGGGUUGGUUAAUCUAGAGUUGUAAAUCAUACAUCCUCUUUUAUUCAUGUGAACGCCAGAACCAAGGAGAAGCUUAUAAAUGUUACCUUACUUGAAGAGUGAUGGUACAGUAUCACCUUGUGAAGCUUUCCUUUCUUAGCGGUUGUGCAACGUGUUUGUGGCACCCUCAAUGGAUCAUAUCUUAUGAGCUAUGCCUUCCUUGUGUAUAUUGUUAACCUUCAUGUGUCUAUCUCUUUGUCUCCAAUAUGAGUUUAUCUGAGGACUUCCCAGGUCGAUAUUGAAAGUUUUCCUGCAGGGGUUAGUCCAACAAAAUAUCCAAUUCUACUAUAGCAUACUAUCAGCUCAAAAAUCAACCUAGACACCAUGUCUAAUUUGAUUUAGGAGGGCAUUUUAACCUAAGAACCAUGCUUAAUUUAAAAUCCCUUGGAAGUAAGAUCAUCAUUCCUAACUAAGCACCAUGCUUCAUUAAGAGAAAUGAAACUACUCCAAACCUAGACAUAUACUAAAGCAAAUAAAGGUAGCAUGAGAGCAUUUAUAGAGAUCUACUCAAGUGG
rnacentral:lncRNA from 1 species